GAUGAACGCUAGCGGCAGGCCUAACACAUGCAAGUCGAGGGGUAGCAGGAUUAAGCUUGCUUAAUUGCUGACGACCGGCGCACGGGUGCGUAACGCGUAUGCAACCUACCUUAUACUGGGGUAUAGCCCGGAGAAAUUCGGAUUAAUCCCCCAUAGUACUAAUGAAUCGCAUGGUUUAUUAGUUAAAGCAUUGCGGUAUAAGAUGGGCAUGCGUCCUAUUAGCUAGAUGGUGAGGUAACGGCUCACCAUGGCUACGAUAGGUAGGGGGCCUGAGAGGGUGGUCCCCCACACUGGGACUGAGACACGGACGAGACUCCUACGGGAGGCAGCAGUGCGGAAUAUUGGUCAAUGGGCGCAAGCCUGAACCAGCCAUGCCGCGUGCAGGAGGAAUGCCCUAUGGGUUGUAAACUGCUUUUAUUUGGGAAUAAACCUCUUUACGUGUAGAGAGCUGAAGGUACCAAAUGAAUAAGCACCGGCUAACUCCGUGCCAGCCGCCGCGGUAA
rnacentral:rRNA from 1 species